CUGAUCUUCAAACAGAAAACCUCAAUACCGCAACUUCCACAAUGAAUUGAAGAAUUUCAUAGAGGUGAAAUAGAAGAAACAUGAAGGUUUCUUCCAAUUUGCGAAAUCGCAGAUGCAAUGUUUUGCAUCUCAAUUUAGCGUCAACCACUACAAAUAUAAAAGCUUUGACCCUUCUUUGGAAUAGAUCGAACUACAAAUGUCGCCCAUUAAUCGAGAUUUCAAGUGGUGAAUCAUUGGUACAGAGAAAGCUAAGCUUGUAUAUUUAGGUUUUAGAGAAGAGGGUUCACUGAAGAGGAGUUUUGAGGGAUGAAG
rnacentral:misc_RNA from 1 species